UACGAAGGGGGCUAGCGUUGCUCGGAAUGACUGGGCGUAAAGGGUGCGUAGGCGGGUCUUUAAGUCAGGGGGGAAAUCCUGGAGCUCAACUCCAGAACUGCCUUUGAUACUGAGGAUCUUGAGUUCGGGAGAGGUGAGUGGAACUGCGAGUGUAGAGGUGAAAUUCGUAGAUAUUCGCAAGAACACCAGUGGCGAAGGCGGCUCACUGGCCCGGUACUGACGCUGAGGUGCGAAAGCGUGGGGAGCAAACAGG
rnacentral:rRNA from 1 species